rnacentral:rRNA from 1 species
AUUGAACGCUGGCGGCAUGCCUUACACAUGCAAGUCGAACGGCAGCACGGGUGCUUGCACCUGGUGGCGAGUGGCGAACGGGUGAGUAAUAUAUCGGAACGUACCUUAUUGUGGGGGAUAACGCAGCGAAAGCUGUGCUAAUACCGCAUAAUCCCUAAGGGGGAAAGCGGGGGACCGUAAGGCCUCGCGCAAUUAGAGCGGCCGAUACCUGAUUAGCUAGUUGGUGAGGUAAAGGCUCACCAAGGCAACGAUCAGCAGCUGGUCUGAGAAGACGAUCAGCCACACUGGGACUGAUACACAGCCCAGACUCCUACGGGAGGCAGCGGUGGGGAAUGUUGGACAAUGGGGGCAACCCUGAUCCAGCAAUGCCGCGUGAGUGAAGAAGGCCUUCGGGUUGUAAAGCUCUUUUGUCAGGGAAGAAACAGCAGCUCUAACACAGUAUGCGAAUGACGGUACCUGAAGAAUAAGCACCGGCUAACUACGUGCCAGCCGCCGCCGUAA